rnacentral:rRNA from 1 species
AGUGAACGCUGGUGGCAGGCUUAACACAUGCAAGUCGAACGGUAACAGAGAAAAAGUUGCUUCUUAGCGGAGGAGAGUCGGGGACGGGAGUGGUAUACAGCGAACUCUCCUUUGUAGGGGGGGAUAUCGGAGGGAAACUAACUCUAACACCGCAUACGCCUCGGGGUAAAAGGCGGGACAUUCUCGCACCCUGCGAGAAUAAAAGAGCCGAUGUGGGAUUAGCUAGUUGGAGGGGUAAAGGCCCACCAAGGCGACGAUCUCUAGCUGGUCUGAGAGGAUGACCAGCCACACUGGAACUGAGACACGGUCCAGACUCCUACGGGAGGCAGCAGUGGGGAAUAUUGGACAAUGGGCGCAAGCCUGAUCCAGCCAUGCCGCGUGAAUGAAGAAGGCCUUCGGGUUGUAAAGCCCUUUUGUUGAGGAAGAAAGUCGGCAGGUUAAUACCCCACUAUACUGACGUUACCCACAGAAUAAGCACCGGCUAACUUCGUG